GGAUCAGUGAUUGGAAAGCAAAAUUCUGAAAUUUCAUUCUUUCCCUUUUUCUUAUACUUCUUUGAUGUUGUAUUUACAAAUACAUUCCGGAUUGAAACUUCAAAAUGGUCUAAUUGGAGCUUACAAGAUUCAUUAAACUCAAAAUGAUUAUAAUAUAAACUCGAUAUUAAUUAAAUCACCAUUUUUCUGUGUUAUUCUGCUGCAACAUUCUUCCAGAAAUUGCUGCUGCUAGUGCUGCUGUGAAAUUGGGAUCUUUUGUCAAGGAAGAGGCCAUCUGUUCCACUAAGAACUGACGGGCCUCGGGAGCUUCCAUUCUUGAUUUUGAACUUCUGGCAUCAUUGUUGGACUUACUAGAUUUUGUGAGGUCAAGAGUAAUGGUCGGUCCAGAUGAGCCCAGUGAGGCUGAGCAGGGUACUGAACCAAUGGUGAGACUACGAGUUGCAGCUGAUGUUGCCUCCAUUUGUGAGGGAUGUGGAUGAUUGUGCUCCCCUUCAUAAGUUGCCACUAGAACAGAUUGAUCUUCAAUGCUUCUUUGAACCUUCUUUUUGACAGGGCAGCUAGGAGCAAAAGAGCAUUUGAAGUAAGCUCUUGGAGAAGGGUUAUCUCUUGUGACCUUUUGGCCAUAUUUCCUCCAUUGAUAUCCAUCCUUGACAACUAGGCUUGUAUCGUUUGCUUCUGUCCUCACAUAAGCCCUGGAAAUCUUUGCUUUGAUUACUUCUUCUCUUGAUUUCUUGCAUGAUUCUUCAUCAGUUGAGCUGCUCUCAGAAAUCCCAUUCAUUGCAAUUGUAUUAUCAUUAUUGUUGUUGCUGCUUUCAGAUUUCCUUUUUCUUGAUGGGCUAAGCUCCUUGUCUUGAUUCUUGCUCAUGAAAUCCAUUAACUGGCUUCUCAAAGCAUUGUAGUUCUCACACAUCACAGAUAGCAUUUCUGUGAGCUUCUUGUUUUCUGCGCUCACUCGGUUCAAUUCCUCCACCAAAGCUCCAGUCUCGUCUUUCACUGAAACCUUCCUCCCCAACUCCAUAAAAUUGCUUUGCCCUUCUUUGGCCAAGCCUACCCUUGCUUGUACAGGGACAUCAUCAUCAUUAGAACGUCGAGGAUUAAUAUUAAGAUCCAAAGAAGUGUCUACCCAUGAAGAAGAAUAAUCCAUAGCCGCCGAAGUCGAAGUAGUCUUCAUUCUCACUGAUCUUGAAGCAAAACCCAAACAAAAUUCCUUUUCUUUUAUCCUCUCGAACCUAGUAGUUGAAGAAGAACGCAAAUGAAG
rnacentral:misc_RNA from 1 species